ACCGCCCGGGGCCAGGCGCCUGGAGGCCUGGCGGUUGCAUCCAGCCGACUGGCUCCGCGUACCAGCCGCUCCGCGUCGGGUCUGGCGGUUCUGUUUGGCGCGAAGAAGCUCUACGCGCCCAGUGUCCACGCUGAGAAGAGUCCCGAGGCCUGCUGCCCGCUUCCGGACUACAUUUUCCAGAGGACUCCGCAGGUGGACGCUACCGUCCUCAGGAUUUCGGCCGCUUUGCGGGAUGGCGGGACCGUUGGCUUCCCCGAGUUAGUAGCUGCGGGGCGUUUGGAGUCCGGGGAACUUAACCUGUUCGGGCCAGAACGGAACUAGGGAAGGACUAGGGUGAGGAGUGCGGUUUCUGUUGCUAAGAGGAAGACUAAAGAAUGAUUAUUGAACAGCCAGAGGCCACAAUCAAGAUCAACAGACAAGAGAUCAAGGUACAGAAGACUUCCAUGCCAUCUAAACGACAUCUAUAGAUUGACAGCAGAGUAUGUAUUCUUUUCAGUUGCAUGUGGAAUAUUCACCAUGAUAAACAAUAUUCUGGAUAAACUAAAUCUUCAUAAAUGUAAAAGAACUAAAAUCAUGCCAAGCAUUUUCCUUACCAGCAUUGAAUUAUAUUAGAAAAAAAUAACAAAGAUACUUAGCAAGUCCACAAAUACUUAAAAAUUAAACAACUGACAUGUAAUUAAUCCAUGAGCCAAACAGGAAGUCUCAAAUGAAAUUGGAGGAUAUUUUCAACUGAACAAAAGUAGA